rnacentral:rRNA from 1 species
UACGGGGGGAGCAAGCGUUGUUCGGAUUUACUGGGCGUAAAGGGCGCGUAGGCGGCCACCGCAAGUCGACUGUGAAAUCCCCGAGCUCAACUCGGGAACUGCGUCCGAUACUGGCGGGCUUGAAUCCGGGAGAGGGAUGCGGAAUUCCAGGUGUAGCGGUGAAAUGCGUAGAUAUCUGGAGGAACACCGGUGGCGAAGGCGGCAUCCUGGACCGGCAUUGACGCUGAGGCGCGAAAGCUAGGGGAGCAAACGGG